rnacentral:ncRNA from 2 species
AGCGAGCCCGGCAAUGGAUUCUGCCUGAGCUGUUCUUCGGCUCGAACCGCCUCGGAAGGCUGAUGACUCCUACUCGACU